rnacentral:tRNA from 1 species
GGGCGGUUAGCUCAGGGGUAGAGCACAGUCUUCACACGGCUGGGGUCACUGGUUCGAAACCAGUACCGCCCACCA